GAGGAGGCGGGCCCGGCCGGCCCCCCGGGCCGUCCCCCUGUGCUCGUCCCGCCUGGCCCGGGGGACGCGGCUGCAGGCGCGGCGCGAGCGCCUGCAGGCUCGGCUCUGGGGCGCUGUCGCUGCUGCCUGUCCCCGCCCCGACCCCAGGGUUCCCUGGAGCGCUCAGAGGCCUGCUGGCCCCGCCGCUGUGCCACCCUGCGUUACCACGGGAGCCAAAACAGGUCCCAAGCCCCGGGAUCGUGGGGCUUCAGCUGUAGCGGGGAAGACAGACAGACAAGCAAGUAUCAGUCAUUGCAGUGAGUGCUAGAAGGACCGGCCCAGAGCUGACGCCAUCUACCAGAGACCUCUGUCUAUCCCCGGGUCCCAGGGGCCCGUGCAGGGAAGCGAUGUUUGAGCUGAGACUUGAAGGAGUAAGGGGGAGGAAGAGGGUCUGGUGAGGUCGGAGGAGACCCUCUACACCUUAGUAAGAUUGCUUUAUCCUUAACCGAAGAUGCAUGCAAAGCUACUGAAGGAUUUUAAGCCCAGCAAUCACCGUAAGAGCAGACAUUUAUUUGGAAUUUACAUGACUCUAAGCACUGUACAUGGAAUAACAAUGACAAUAGCAAAUCUGCUUAAUAUGUGCCAAGCACUUUGCAGAUGUGAAGUCAUUUAGUCUUCAUAGCAGCCUUUCCACCAUGUGCAAGUGUAAAAUCCUCAUUUUGCAGAAGAGGAAACUGAGGCACAGACUUGCAUUCUCCUCUGAGAAGAGCUUUACCUUCUCCCUCGUAUCUCUGUUUAUUCUUCUCUCUGAGGUCGGGGAUUCUACCACAGAGUUCUGCACUGUGCCUUACUGAAACGAGUGCUGGAUUUGCAGUAAAAAUUGAAUUUGAAUUCGACCUCUACUAGGCCUUAUAAAGCUGUGAAGUACCUACUUCAGGAUGGUACAGCUUGUUUAAAAUAUAAGGUGCCCAGAAGAAAAGGGAUCUAAAACUAAAAGUGUUUCCUCUGGCAAAAGUGCAGUGGGCCCAAGAGAAAUUCUCGCGACAGCCUGGAGAGAAUUCAGGGGAGGCUUUGUUGAGCUCCCGGAAAAGCAAACACAUAAUUAUAAUGGAGGUAAAUGGACUGAAAGCCAAGUCAAAGAGGCAGAUCGGCUUCACCAGGAGAGGCACUCACUUCUGCAAAGACAGCAGGAUAAAGAGAACUAGCCUCUCGACCUGGACAAGAGGUGCCUACAACCGUGGGCUGAAAGAGUGUGGAGAACUGUUGACACUGCAGGCAAAAAGAAUGUUAUCAAAGUUCUGUUCAAGUCAAAGGCCUGACACGGAGGCUAAGGAGAGCUCACUGCCUCAAAGAAGAGCCUGCCUGGAGAGAUUUCUUCACGCUACAAACCUCUGUAAAUGUCCUUUCAACGAUUCUGUUUAAAAAAAAAAGGAAUAACCUUAGAUCAAAGUUAGGGCAAGAGUUUCCACAACAGCGAAGCCCACAAUGCCGCAAGGGGGAGAUUAGAGUGAAAUUUUUACGUGAAAAUGUUUCAAGUAUUUAGAAGCUCUUAUGGAAGUAAAAAACACCACAAUGGACAAAUGAUGUGAAUAAAAAUUCACAGAAGAGGUAGCAGUGGCCAAUAAAUAAGAAAAAGGAGGGUUAGCUUCAUUGAUUGCAUUAAAGAAAUGCAAAAUAGGGGUUGACCCUGUGGCCUAGUGGUUAAGUUUGGUGUGCUCCGCUUAGGCUGCCUGGGUUCGUGGGUUCAGAUCCCAGGCACAGACCUACACCACUUGUCAGCCAUGCUGCGGCAGCAUCCCACAUAUAAAGUAGAGGAAGAUUGGCAUAGAUGUUAGCUCAGGGCUAAUCUUCCUCAGCAAAAAACAGAAAGAAAGAAAGAAAUACAAAAUAAAACCAAAGACAAUAUUACCUAUUAAAGUUGCAUGUUUUUAAAUAAAUAAAAGUUCUCAAUGUGGGUAGAAUGGUGGGGAAAUGAGUACUCUUCUAUCCUGUUGGUGGAAUUGUUAGAUCUUUCUAGAGGACAAUUUGGCAACAUAUAUCCAAAGCCUAAAAGAGUUUAAAUCCUCUAGCCUAAUAAUUUUAUUUCUAGGGAUUAUCCUAAACAAAUACUUAAAUUUGCAUCAAUGAUUUUUGUUCAAAGGUAUUAAUUGCAGCAAUAUAUUUAAGAAUGAAAAUUUGGAAAACACACAGCUGGUGAAUAGUUAAUAAAAAAAAUACACUAGAAUAUUGGGUAACCAAAAAAACUUAUUAUAAAAUUUAAAUUUACUUAAAGAAGCAAUGUAUGCACACUAUAAGAUUUUUUAACUCUCUGAAGGUAAUAGCCACUGUUAAUAGUUUCUUUUGUUUCUUCAAGAAGUCUUUUUUAAGACAUUUUUGAUCUAUACAUUUGCUAUUUACAUCUAUCUGUGUAUAUACUAUCUCUAUAUCUAUCUAUCUAUCUAUUUAUCUAUCUAUCUACCUGGCCCACUGCUUGUCUUUGUAAAUAAAAUUUUAUUAGAACCCAAUCACAGCCAUUUGUUUAUGUGCUGUCUAUGGCAACAUUCCAGUUGCAAUGGCAGAGUUGAAUAGUUGUGGCAGAGACCAUAAGGCUAAAAAUAUGUAAUAUCUGACUGUUUACAGAAAGUUUGCCAACCCCUGCACAAUACCCUGAUUAGCAUGUGAGCUCAGUGAGCUUUUUGUCUGCCUUGUUUGCUGUUGUAUUCCCAACGCCUAGAACAGUGCCUGGCACAUUGUAGGUGCUUACUAAAUAUUUGUCUGAUGAAUGCAUAGGAUCAGUUGCUCCUGUUAAUGUACAUUCAUGUGGUUUCUACAUUUAGUGGGUAUUUUAGUAUUACAAAUAAUGCUGUAAUGAAGACAGAUCUUUGCUUACUUCUCCAAUUAUAUCAGAAACAGUAUUUUGAAAAAUAUUUAGUGAC
rnacentral:lncRNA from 1 species